rnacentral:rRNA from 1 species
CUACGGGCCGCUGCAGUGAGGAAUAUUGCACAAUGGGGGGAACCCUGAUGCAGCAACGCCGCGUGGAGGAUGACGCAUUUCGGUGUGUAAACUCCUUUUAUAUGUCAAGAAAAUGACGGUAGCAUAUGAAUAAGCACCGGCUAACUCCGUGCCAGCAGCCGCGGUAAUACGGAGGGUGCAAGCGUUACUCGGAAUCACUGGGCGUAAAGGACGCGUGGGCGGGUUGGAAAGUCAGGUGUGAAAUCCUACAGCUUAACUGUAGAACUGCACUUGAAACUUCUAAUCUAGAGUAUGGGAGGGGGAGAUGGAAUUAGUGGUGUAGGGGUAAAAUCCGUAGAUAUCACUAGGAAUACCUAAAGCGAAGGCGAUCUCCUGGAACAUUACUGACGCUAAGGUGUGAAAGCGUGGGGAGCAAACAGGAUUAGAUACCCGCGUAGUC